rnacentral:rRNA from 1 species
GGGGAAUAUUGCGCAAUGGGGGAAACCCUGACGCAGCAACGCCGCGUGGGUGAUGAAGGUCUUCGGAUUGUAAAACCCUGUCUUCUGGGACGAUAAUGACGGUACCAGAGGAGGAAGCCACGGCUAACUACGUACCAGCAGCCGCGGUAAUACGUAGGUGGCGAGCGUUGUCCGGAUUUACUGGGCGUAAAGGAUGCGUAGGCGGGCAUUUAAGUGAGAUGUGAAAUCCCCGGGCUUAACUUGGGGGCUGCAUUUCAAACUGGGUGCCUAGAGUGCAGGAGAGGUAAGUGGAAUUCCUAGUGUAGCGGUGAAAUGCGUAGAGAUUAGGAAGAACACCAGUGGCGAAGGCGACUUACUGGACGAUAACUGACGCUGAGGCGCGAAAGCGUGGGGAGCAAAC